GAGGUCCAGCACUGGGACCAUGCCAGGCAAACAUGAGGAGGGAGUUUACAGGGACUAGGAUUGGGUGAGAUACAAUUCCAUGGAAUUUUACCACUGAACCAGUGGAGGGCUAAUUUUGUCAUUUGUACCAGUUAACUAACUUGGGAGGAAACAGAACAACACACUCCUGAGGGUAAAAUGGAAACUCUGAGAGUUUGGUUGGCGGCAUCUAUAUACCAUAGAAACAGAGCCUGGGAAGCAGAACAGUGAGACCCAAGAGAAAUGUUCCUGCCUAUACUUGAUUGGUUUUCACAGAAUUCCAUGGACUUUAACUGCUGAACCAAUGAUGCACUGAUUUUGUCACUUGUACCAGCUAACGCAUCUGGGAGGCAACAAAACAAUACUCUCCUGAGGUUAAUGUGGACCAAAAACUAGAUUUCAUAUAAAAGAGUUUAUUCCUUCUACUUGAGGUGUGACAUGAAGGAAAGUAAUGGAAAUAAUUCUGCCCUCCCAUUCUCAAGGGCCAGGGGGAAUUCAAAUAUUGAACGGAAGUGAUUUUGGAAUUGCAUGGAAUUCUCACUGCCAUCCCAAAGAAAUGCUGAUCUUGUCACUCUUACCUGUUUCAUUCCCUGGGGGCAGAACAAAAGGACGCACUCCAAAGAUCGGCAUGAACCAAGAACUGGGUUUCAUAUAAAAUAUUUUAUUCUGUCCUCUUGAGAUGUGACAUGAGAAAAGUAUUGAGAAUACUUCUAUCACCUCAUCUUCAAGAAUCCGUAGGAAUUCUCCCAUGGUGGACUUUACGGUUAACCUGAACAGGUCUUGGAAAAAGGACUUUAAACAUUCUCCUGUUCUGUGGAAUAAGUAUACUUUUUUCUGGACAUACACCUUGUCAGUGAGUUCCAUGUGAUACUAGAGUUGCAUAGAUUUUUAACCUUUACGCCAAUGAAGAUCUGAGGCAAACAUUGCCCCUUUUUUAGAAGUUUGCAUUUGUCACUGAUAACUGUAAUAAUUGAUCUUGUUGAAAAGCCUGGGAAAUGAAGAUCUGAUAUGUCACUUUUACCGGCUUCCUCAACUGAAAAAGAAUACAAUGAAACACGCUGAGAAUUUUUGUGCUUUCUCAGUCUUGCUGAUGAUCUUUCUAUGGGCCUGAAGCGUGGAGAGUGCCAGAGAGGCUGAUCCUCAGCAGUGUGGCAGAGGAAAGUUGGGUGCGACUAAGGGGUAUGCGGUGCCCACAUGCCACUGGGUCCUCAGCAGUACCACCUGAUUGGAAGUGAUAUUGGUGGAAGACAACAUUUUGCCGCUUGGAAUUCUCACCUCCACACCAAAGAAGUACUGUUUUUGUCAUUUGCACCAGCUUCUUUCUCCAGGAAAGAUCAAAACGAUGCACUGCAAGUGUGAUUGGUCCAGAUAGCUGCCUUAUCCAACUGCCUCCUUUGGACCACUUCAUCAUGGGACAGCUUGAUGCAAUCUACUUGACAAGACCCUGGAACCCCACACCCCUCAUGGAACCAGUGUCCACCUCCCAGUCACAGUGUGACCCCAGGGAACUCUUGCCUGCUUGCUUUAAACCCACCACUUAAAAGUCUCCACAGAAAACCUGUUUGAAUAGUACCCUUGACCCAAUAAGGGCAUUGGCCCCUGGGUGUCUCUCUCUCUCUCUCUCUCUCUCUCUCCCUCUCUCUCCCUCUCUCUCUCUCGCUCCCUGACCUCUGCGUGUGGACUCCAGGCAUGCCAUAUACCCCUCAGGACCUGAAGCAAAAGAAUGAAUUAAAGAAAACUCCAGAGAAUGAGCUGACAACCUACUCCCUGGUCAGUGGCUCUCCAUGCCUACCUGUGGUCUCUUGGACACCCUUGCAGAAGAUGACUUCCUGGGAACUCUUCUGGGAGUGAAUGUUAUCAGCAAAUUCCCAAAACAACACCCCUUAGACAAAAAGCCUCCUCACCUAUGCAUUGCCUAGACCACCCACUAAAGGUGAUGGCCACAAAGAGGUGGAUUUGUUGAGUUGGUGCCAUUCCUUCUACUGCCAGCUUCACCAAAACAAUGACACAGUCUUCCUUCCGCAUGGAGACUCUUCUCUUUCCUGUGUUGCAGUGGAUGCCUCCUGCAGAUAAGAAAUGCUUAACUGAGAAAUGCUCAUGUUGGGAUAUCAUCGAUGAGACUUUAAUUUGGGCAUGGUGACUGUUUCCCUUGCUGCCACUUGACUCAAUCCCAGGAGCCUCAGUAGAGGAUAUAAUAUUACACAAGAUGCUCAAAAUGGUGGAAUUGCUCAGUGCUCCCAUAAAUAUACAUUUAUAAUUUUCAUUUGCCACAUGGUAAACUGAAAAAUACAGACUAUAUUAAAAAGAAACUGCAUGAUUUUUUUUCAAAAAUUCAAAGCAUAUUUAAAUAAUAUAUAAAUUAAAUGCCCUCCUCUCUUCCAAUUCUGUCCCUAUAGUUUUCCUCUAUUAAGUGAACUACAUGCAUUCUUUUAGUGGAUAGAUGCACACAAACACACAAGCCAUUAUGGGGAAGGAUCCACGUGUGUGGCCAUAUUGUAACACAUUUUUCUGCAAAUCACCUCUUUCAUUUAACAGCCCUUAUUCAAUGGCCUUUUUCUUUUUCAGUAGUACAUACACAUCUGUGUCAUUUGUUGAAUGACGACAUGAAUGUUUUGUAGAUAAAAUAUAAUUAAAUGUUUUAAGCAUUUCUCACUCAUAGAUAUUUAUGUUAGCACCAAAUUUCUGUGCAAUGAACCUCCCUAUAUAUCAGUAAUUUUGCAUUUGUCUAUAAUAUCAUAAUAAAUUACUUAUCAGUUGAAUUACUGGGAUUAAGUAUGUGCACACUUUAUAUUUAUAUUUUGAAAAUUAUUGCAAGAUUGCCUUCAAAAAUGUGGUUAACAACUUUAUCUUCAAAUGGCAAUGAAUGAGAUUGCCAGCUUUCCUACAGCCUCACAGACAAUGGAUUUUAUAAAUAUUUAACAUUUUUGCCAAUGUGAUCACCCAAACUAUUGUCUUAAAUUGUAUCUCUUUUGUUUUUGAGUUUGGUCAUUUUUUCAUGUUUAUUAGCCAUCUGUAUUUUUUAAUUUCUUCUUUAUGUCCAAUUUUGUGGGUGGGAGGAGGAUUUAGUCUCUUCCUGAUUUCGAAGAGCUCAUUUACUAUUUCGGGAAAUAAGAUUUGGAUUGUCAACCAUUAUAGCUAUUUUUUACACACUUUUCAACUUUGUUUUUGUUAUAAGAAUGUGUAUGAUUGUUACAUGUCCAAGUAUAACCAUGUUCGCUUUUAUGGCUUCUGAGUUUCAUGUCAUUUUUGGAAAGAUAUAUAUAUUGAGUCCAUAAAACCCUUCACCUAUGUUAAAUUCUAAUUCUUUUGUGUUUUUUUAAUUCAAAUUCUUAAAUCAUGAGAAAUUUUUUUGUUUUGAAAUCUUAAAGUUGCCAAGUUACUUGCCAUUACUUGCGAUUAUUUGCCAAUAAUUGCCCAUUUAUCUGUACCGCCAUCUUGCGCAUAUGCUGUACUCUCAUCUGUGACUGGCUCCAUUUUUGUUCUGUGGAUUUGUGUGUCUCUUCUUCUGCCUCCUGUCUCGUGUCUGCUCGUUGGAAGAAAUUACAGUUUAGACUGCAAUUUCAUCAACUUUAAUAAAUCAAUUGAGGGGAGAAUUGGUUUUUAAAAAUAUUAAGUAAGUCUUCGUAUCCAAGGACAAGGUAUGUCUUUUCUUAUUCAAUAAUUUUAAUUACUGUUAAUAUUUUCACUGUGGUGAUGGGAGUUUUUCUUUUAAUUUAUUUUCUUGUUCAUUUUUUGUAUCUAAAGUUUUUGUUUUGUUUUGUUUUGGGGGUAAGUUGUCACCUUACUGUUUCUUGUUGCUUUUCAGAUUUUUUCAAAGUAUAGACUAAAUCCUUCACAAAUAUUUAAAGUUUUUAUUUUCCCCCUUCAUAUUGAUCCUGAUUUUAGUUAUGUUGACAAAGUCCACAGACUGUUACUAUCAGAACACUUGAACAGUUAUGGAAAUAUUACCUACCCUUGAUUUAAUCAGAGUUUAAUGGUAUGCUUCUUUGGUUUGACUGGCACAUUGUCGCUGGUCAUUUCCUCCCAAAGACCACCAGAAAGAGCUAUGAUCAAGCAAAGCUGAGUUUGUUAAACUUACCUGCAGCAAGGGAAAACACCACCUUGAUAGGGUUUAAUAAUGUUUCAAAAUCAAGAAAUGAGGCUUUGGGGUCUGGGCAGGGAACUAAUUAGAAAUGGGCAAAAUUUGUCAUGCAAUACCUUGUGGGAAAGUGAGAUGAGGUUCUUAAUGUGAGUAUUGAUGGUGAAAUCAUUUUCUAGGUGAGCUGUUUGCCUAUAUAAAGAUGUUAUCAAUGACAGAAGAACUAUUUGCCUAGAUAAACAAACUGAAUUUAUUUAUUGGUUUACAGUUUUAUCUUGCUGGGCAGGACUCUGCUGGGGGUGGUAUCAGGUCUUAUUCCCAAUAGGUAAGUUAUUUGGAUAUGGGUGGUCUUAAUCAUCAAUGUGUAAAAUGCUGAUUUUAAGUGCGAAAUACUUUGUCUACCAUGUUAGGAAAGUCUGCCACCUUUUAUCUUUUUUAAGGAAUUUUAAUCAAAACCAGGUGGUAGAUAUAAUCAAAUUGUUUUGCAGAAUCAAUUUUCCUGUUCUCUUUAAAGACUUUUAUCACUGUGAAUUAAUUUACUAUUAUUGCAACUUCCUUUAAUUCCUUGAAUGAACAGACCCUACUGGUUUUAAAAAUGUUUUAUUCUUUUAAUUUACUACUUAAUUGUGGGUAUUUUAAUUUGAUUUGGAAUUUUUACAAGUAUACAACUAAGUGAAAUUGAUCUGUGAUUUUUCUUUUUUGUGCUAUUUUUGUCAUGUUUUGAUAUCAGAUAUUCUGGUUGUGUUAAAAUAAUUUUGAGGAUUUUCUUCUUAUACUGUGUUCUAGAGUGGGUAAAAAAGCCCUAGUCUCACUAUCAGUGUUUAAGUGAACACAUCAGUGACAUCAUCUGGACUCUCCUUUGUUUUUGCUGGUUUGGAGUUAGGACAUCUAGAAGUUUUUUUCUUUUUUUCCUUUUUUUGUAUGGUUAUUGCUUGUUCUUUGUUUUGUGUCAAAUUUAACCUGUUUUCUCUUAGCAAAUCACAGCUCAUGCAGAUUUUCAAACACAUUAGCCUUGUUAUACAAAGUGUUCUUUCAUCAUUCUAUUAAAUUUCCAUUUUCAUUCCAGUUAUAGUUAUUUCUGCUGUGCCUUUGUUAAUGAAUAAGUUUAAACAGUGGAUGUUUAGCAUCACUAGCCUUCCCCUUCCAUCUCCCUUAAUCAGGACCUUGGUAUAAUUUAUCAGGUAUUUUUUAAGGUUCUAAUUUACUUAUAUAUAUUGUUUCUGUAUUCUUUUGUUUCUUUUCUUAAUAAAUUCUUAAA
rnacentral:lncRNA from 1 species